rnacentral:lncRNA from 1 species
UUUUUCCUGCUGCUGCCUCUACUGCCUCUCUCCCAUAGGAAGAACACUACCUCUGGGUAGCCAGGAGCUGAGAUGCAGUCUGAAUGUUCACGGUGGCUUCUGACGUGGCAGCAUGAAUUCUCAGCUGGGCAGAGCCUAAGAGAUAUCAUCAUGGAUGUGGCUUUUAAUGAUUUGCGGGAGAAAAAGAAAAAGAAAAAGAAAAAUGACAGCCUGUGGAGACGCCGAUUGGAGAAAGCAGCACAUUGUGGUUAUUGCCAAUUUGAAAUACUGGGUUUGUGAAGCCAAGCCCUAAGGGAGUAGCCGGGUAACUGAGAAAGAGAUCGUAGAUAAAGAAAUAAAAAUGACAAGCGUAAUGGAGGCUGUGCGAAGGGACUGUCAGAGCAUCCGUUCAUGGAUGGCAAUCUUGCCAGGCAGAGAUUGAAUAAUUCAUAGAUGGAAACUACCCUGCCUUCACCUUCCCAUUUAAACCGGGCAUGAGCUGAAUCUCUAAUAAAUUUUCAAGAUAAAGUAAAA